rnacentral:rRNA from 1 species
GAGUUUGAUCCUGGCUCAGAACGAACGCUGGCGGCGUGCCUAACACAUGCAAGUCGAACGUGAUCCAGAGCUUGCUCUGGUGAAAGUGGCGCACGGGUGAGUAACGCGUGGAUAACCUACCCUGGUAUCCGGGAUAACAUUCCGAAAGGGGUGCUAAUACCGGAUAAGCCCACGGGCUCUUUGGAGCUUGCGGGAAAAGGUGGCCUCUAUUUAUAAGCUACUGUAUCAGGAUGGGUCCGCGUACCAUUAGCUAGUUGGCGGUGUAACGGACCACCAAGGCGACGAUGGUUAGCUGGUCUGAGAGGAUGAUCAGCCACACUGGAASUGAGACMCGGUCCAGACUCCUACGGGAGGCAGCAGUGGGGAAUUUUGCGCAAUGGGGGAAACCCUGACGCAGCAACGCCGCGUGAGUGAUGAAGGCCUUUGGGUCGUAAAGCUCUGUCAGAGGGGAAGAAAUGAUAUAGUGCUAAUACCACUUUAUCUUGACGGUACCCUCAAAGGAAGCACCGGCUAACUCCGUGCCAGCAGCCGCGGUAAUAC